GUGGAAAUCCACUUCUGGAAAAUGUCUGACAGCCACUCUUUACCACUGUUGCCUGCAACAGAGCUGGUCACGCAUCGCAGGGGAUUAGGACCAAAACUGAGGCAUCCAGCACCCCGUGUUUCCCACCUGAGUGGAAAAGCGGAGGGAAGCGCCAGGGCGGAACUGGCUGCUGUGUCUCAAGGACUCUAGGAGUAGCCUCGGUCCCCGGGGCGGCAAAGGGGACCCGAGUGAGGCUUGAGGACUUAGAAAUGACAAUGGCGCCAGGGAGCGUCCCAGACACCGGCUUCCAAGCGGCUAAAGCGGCUGAGGCGCGAAGAAGGAGCAGCUGCCUCGCUUUAGAUAGACGGGCACUUGCUGUCCCCUGCCGAGCCUGGAACAGGCUGCUCGCCGGGACCACGGCCUCCUACUGCCUCCUCUCACCACCUUCAAGAGACACCAUCUCCUAAAGACUCAAAGGUGAAAAGCAAAACCUGAACGCGGCCAUGAGCCGCAUCCAGGAAAAGAAACACCUGCGACGGCUCUGCGCCUCCCCCCGCCCCAAUGCACACCUCCCUCCUGACACCCCUUCAAAGGCACACGGGGACACAGGUCCCCGCAGCCUCGUGGCCACUGCUUCUCAUCAUGCUGGCUGCACAUCCCAGCCGCAGGAGCACCAAGUCAGACGGGGAAACAACCGCACGGCACGGCCCUGCUGCUCAGGACAGGUUCAGCGCUGACAAGACUGGUGGUGGAGAGAAAUUGCCAAGAUGCUAAGAAACUUGAGAGGCCACCUCUGCAGCAGGGCUGGGACGGGUGAGGGGAAGAGAACUUACUUUCAUUUUAUACUUUUUCCAUGGCUUGAAUUUUAAACUCUCCAUAGGUUACUUUUAUAAUUAAAGGCAGAAAUCUGGUUUUCUCAUCAGGACAGGAACUCAGGAGCUAGGGGGGAAGCCUUGAGCCCUCUGGGCUGGCUCAAAGGCCAACGGCCCUCCAUUCUGCUGUGCCCCGACCACGCUGGGUCACACAGACAGGCCCACCUGCCUCGCCUGCUGUCCUGUCCUGCUCUCCUGCCAUCGCCGGCUGUGGAUUCCUUCCUGGGAACAGCCAGUGCUUGAAACAAAGUCGGAAGCACAGGGGCCCCACCAGUGUCUCGUCUCACCCCGGGUCUGAGUUUUGGGGAGGGCGGGUCCAGGUCCGCAGGGCCCCUGGGCAGCACCUGCCCCCAGGCCUCCCUCCCAGCCCACUGCCCGCAGCACCCACUGCUCCCAGCCCAGGCCCUGCCUCCCUUGGGCCCACGGCGGGUCCAGUGGGUGCACCCCCUGCUCCCCACUGUGGAGAGCUUUACAGCCCUUGUCCGGGAGUCCUGCCCUGGCCCCUCCUGUUAGCCCUGAGGAGCUCAGAAGCCCCUUCCCAGCAAGGUCCAGAUGAGAAGCUGAGGCUCAGAGAGGGCUGAGAGCUGCUGGGGGUCACGCAGAACACCAGGCAGCACUGGGUCCUCUACUCAAUCUGAGGAACGUGAGCAGAGCCAACCCCACCUCACACACACACACUCACACACCCCAACCCCAAGGCCUGGGGACCCCCAGGUGGGCUCAGAGCCAGGCCUGUGGCCCAGCCUCCGCCCCCUCAUCCCAACCCCCUCACGUCCCUGCCCCGCCUCCCAGCCCAUCUCCCCGCCCAGCUCCCUUCGGCUUUGUCCCCCAAACACAACACAAAGGGCAGGCACUUACUUACUGCAGCAGGAGAGGGGACACGUGCACGGCCAUCUAAGUCCCAACCUGAUGACGAAGCCACAAAGCUCUGACCUUAAAAGGCCUCAGAAAUGGGGGUAGUAAAAACACUCUGUAAGAUGAGCAAAGAGUUAAUUUGACACGUUAGUGACAAGGCCCUCGCCACCUGUCCUUUAGGAAACCGAGAGAGUGAUCUACACACGGAAACGCGCCACGCUGGCUAAAAGGGUACAAGUUAAAGUGGCGUCAAGAAGCCACCUCCUGCUCGUAGUCCAUGAGCAAGUAUAUAAGGGAAUUUGCCCAGACACGUUUGUGACAGUGUGAUUUGUCAUUACAAGAUGCUGGACCCACAAGGCAGCAGUGACAGGCUCACACCUUGGAAUGCCCUCGAGGCGGGUGAUCUCAGCAGGGUACCCGGGCCUGCAACACGACCCAAAGUGGGAAGAGCCCAGUAUCUGCCAGUCCCGCCCGGGUAGCAUAAACAUUCACACAGGAGCGGAAAGCAGAGAGAGAUGACCCAACAGGUACUUCAGUCAAAUGCAAAUGAGACGGCCAGGCCGGGGUGGGGUGGGGGGUGGGGGCAGGUCCCCCCCUGUCCGCGUCGCACAAGGUGAACUCCCAGCAGAAAGCAGGCCACACAGGAGGCGUCUCGACGUUCCCACAACGCUGCAGCAAAACACAUCGAACAAGCGGGUGAGCCGUCUCGGGCCGGGCCGGGGGACCAGAAGCGGGGGUGGGAAGGCCACCCACUUCCCGUCCCAGCCCCAGGAUGCAGGGGGCGAGGACGGGGCCGAGACACACGCGGAGGGCCCGGCCCCGAGCGUGGGCCGUGACGGGCCUCGGCGGCGCCCGUGGAGCGCUUACGAAGCCAAUCACAGGCGCCCGCGGGCUCUGGGCCUGGCCCAGCCAGUCCCCUCGCGGCCCAGAGGCUUUGCUCGAGCCCUUCUGGCACCGGGAAGGCUCGCUCUCGAGCUGCUCUCACCCUCCGAGAGAGAGCGCGAGGGUCCCCUGCCCUGGGUCGGGCCCUCUGCCUUCACGGCCUGCUCAAGCUACACCGCCCUCCCCACGGUGGCUUGUAUAAUCACCGCCUGGGGCCUGUCCCCGUGAGAGUGGGGGCACCGGGACGGCAGGCCAGCAGCCUCCGUGCUGCCUGGGUCUGUGGGCUCAGGCUGGCCACGGAGGCCAGCGUUAGAAAGGGAAAGCCUGGCGGAGGCUGCUGCUCUUUGCUGACCGCCCUCCAUGCGCCCGCUAGGCCCCGGCCGCCAAAAGGGGCCCCCACAUCCUCCUGGGGGCAUCAGGAGCCUCCCUGAGACGGCUCCACACCCCGCAGUGCGGUGGCAGCUGCGGCGCCUCACGUGGCCUCUUCUUUCCGCUGUUACAAGUACACGCGUCUGAACCGGAGCCAGUGAAGGAUGCGGUGCAAGGCUCUCAGAGAAACGAAACGAAAUCCAAGGAAAACCGGAGGAAAUAAUGAAAUAAAAGUAGAGAUGAAUGAA